AGCUUUGCGCAGUGGCAGUAUCGUAGCCAAUGAGGUUUAUCCGAGGCGCGAUUAUUGCUAAUUGAAAACAAAAUGUCAUGCAUAACUCUACUGUGUAAUUUGUUCCAUCCUAGCAGUUUUCACAGUGAGUUAUGAACAUUGAGUUAACAG
rnacentral:snRNA from 1 species